GACGAACGCUGGCGGCGUGCCUAAUACAUGCAAGUCGAACGAAACUUUCUUACACCGAAUGCUUGCGUUCACCGUAAGAAGUUGAGUGGCGGACGGGUGAGUAACACGUGGGUAACCUGCCUAAAAGAAGGGGAUAACACUUGGAAACAGGUGCUAAUACCGUAUAUCUCUAAGGAUCGCAUGAUCCUUAGAUGAAAGAUGGUUCUGCUAUCGCUUUUAGAUGGACCCGCGGCGUAUUAACUAGUUGGUGGGGUAACGGCCUACCAAGGUGAUGAUACGUAACCGAACUGAGAGGUUGAUCGGCCACAUUGGGACUGAGACACGGCCCAAACUCCUACGGGAGGCAGCAGUAGGGAAUCUUCCACAAUGGACGCAAGUCUGAUGGAGCAACGCCGCGUGAGUGAAGAAGGUCUUCGGAUCGUAAAACCCUGUUGUUAGAGAAGAACACGAGUGAGAGUAACUGUUCAUUCGAUGACGGUAUCUAACCAGCAAGUCACGGCUAACUACGUGCCAGCAGCCGCGGUAAUACGUAGGUGGCAAGCGUUGUCCGGAUUUAUUGGGCGUAAAGGGAACGCAGGCGGUCUUUUAAGUCUGAUGUGAAAGCCUUCGGCUUAACCGGAGUAGUGCAUUGGAAACUGGAAGACUUGAGUGCAGAAGAGGAGAGUGGAACUCCAUGUGUAGCGGUGAAAUGCGUAGAUAUAUGGAAGAACACCAGUGGCGAAAGCGGCUCUCUGGUCUGUAACUGACGCUGAGGUUCGAAAGCGUGGGUAGCAAACAGG
rnacentral:rRNA from 1 species